GAUCAUGCUCAGGAUGAACGCUAGCUACAGGCUUAACACAUGCAAGUCGAGGGGAAACGACAUCGAAAGCUUGCUUUUGAUGGGCGUCGACCGGCGCACGGGUGAGUAACGCGUAUCCAACCUGCCCACCACUUGGGGAUAACCUUGCGAAAGUAAGACUAAUACCCAAUGACAUCCCACGAAGACAUCUGAAUGGGAUUAAAGAUUUAUCGGUGAUGGAUGGGGAUGCGUCUGAUUAG
rnacentral:rRNA from 1 species